GCCCUUACGACCAGGGCUACACACGUGCUACAAUGGCAUAUACAAAGAGAAGCGACCUCGCGAGAGCAAGCGGACCUCAUAAAGUAUGUCGUAGUCCGGAUUGGAGUCUGCAACUCGACUCCAUGAAGUCGGAAUCGCUAGUAAUCGUAGAUCAGAAUGCUACGGUGAAUACGUUCCCGGGCCUUGUACACACCGCCCGUCACACCAUGGGAGUGGGUUGCAAAAGAAGUAGGUAGCUUAACCUUCGGGAGGGCGCUUACCACUUUGUGAUUCAUGACUGGGGUGAAGUCGUAACAAGGUAACCGUAGGGGAACCUGCGGUUGGAUCACUCCUUACCUUAAAGAA
rnacentral:rRNA from 1 species